rnacentral:rRNA from 1 species
GACGAACCGAGCGAACGUUGUUCAGAAUCACUGGGCUUAAAGGGCGCGUAGGCGGCCUGCCAAGUCAGGAGUGAAAUCUUUCGGCUCAACCGGAAAAGUGCUUUUGAUACUGGCGGGCUAGAGGGAGAUAGGGGCAUGUGGAACUUCCGGUGGAGCGGUGAAAUGCGUUGAUAUCGGAAGGAACGCCGGUGGCGAAAGCGGCGUGCUGGACCUCUUCUGACGCUGAGGCGCGAAAGCCAGGGGAGCGAACGGG